rnacentral:rRNA from 1 species
AGAACGAACGCUGGCGGCAGGCUUAACACAUGCAAGUCGAGCGCCCCGCAAGGGGAGCGGCAGACGGGUGAGUAACGCGUGGGAACAUACCCUCCGGUUCGGAAUAGCUCAGGGAAACUUGGAUUAAUACCGGAUACGGCCUAGCGGCGAAAGAUUCAUCGCCGGAGGAUUGGCCCGCGUCUGAUUAGCUAGUUGGUGGGGUAAUGGCCCACCAAGGCGACGAUCAGUAGCUGGUCUGAGAGGAUGAUCAGCCACAUUGGGACUGAGACACGGCCCAAAACUCCUACGGGAGGCAGCAGUGGGAAUAUGGACAAUGGGCGCAAGCCUGAUCCAGCCAUGCCGCGUGAGUGAUGACGGCCUUAGGGUUGUAAAGCUCUUUCGCUAGGGACGAUAAUGACGGUACCUAGACAAGAAGCCCCGGCUAACUUCGCGCCAGCAGCCGC